rnacentral:lncRNA from 1 species
UUUGAGUAGUUAACUUGUUAGACUUAGGGUUUAUAAAGGUUAUGAUGAAUUAUUUAUUAUAGAACUUCUAAGGUGAUUAUCUAGAAUCCUUCACAGAAUUGAUCUUAUUGCUUGCAUUCUAGAGUAGCUAACUAGAAUCUUGAACUUAGAAUUUGACAAUAGCGAGAGCAGAUUCGUACCUGAAUAUAAUUCUAUUCAGCUAGGUUGUUUGGAGCUGUGACACGUUGGUUUAAUUAACUUUGUGAACUUAUCGAUCAGAACUUUAAAGCUUGUUUGAAAGCGUAUCGAUUUGACACUCUAUAAUUGUAUUGAUCAAUACUCGUUAUGUAUUAAAUACGAGAGUAUGAGUACUGAUCUGAACAUGUAG